UUGGAGGGCAAGUCUGGUGCCAGCAGCCGCGGUAAUUCCAGCUCCAAUAGCGUAUAUUAAAGUUGUUGUGGUUAAAAAGCUCGUAGUUGAACCUUGGGCCUGGCUGGCCGGUCCGCCUCACCGCGUGCACUGGUCCGGCCGGGCCUUUCCCUCUGCGGAACCCCAUGCCCUUCACUGGGUGUGGCGGGGAAACAGGACUUUUACUUUGAAAAAUUAGAGUGCUCAGGGCAGGCCUAUGCUCGAAUACAUUAGCAUGGAAUAAUAGAAUAGGA
rnacentral:rRNA from 1 species